UUUCCCGCUACAAAUUUUAACCCCAGGCGUAUGGAAAAAUUCUUCUGAGAGAGAUGCUCUUUCUGGCUUUUAUACCUCUCUCAUGGAAAAUUCUAUAGCAAACAAGGUUUCAUUGCACUCCAGCCUGGGCAACAAGAGUGAAACUCCAUCUCAAAAAAAAAAGUAAAGAAAAUGUGGAUGUUGAGAUGGAGGCAGAUAGGCAUGAGCCUGUGGAUAGAGACAUGGAUGUGAAUGGGGAUGUAGAUAGGAAUAUGGUGGGGAUGGGGCUAUGGAUGAAGAUGCAGAUGGGGAAGGGGUGGGGCAUGGGGUGAGGAUGGAAAUGGAUAUGGAUGUACUUAAGAAUAGGAAGAUGGAUGGGGUGUGGGGGGGCUGCUGGGAACACAUGGGCAUGAGCAUCUGUGUAUGAAUGUGGGGUGUGGAAGGGAACGGAAUCAUGCCAUUAGCAGUUUGUGCCUCACCUCCAAAUGUCGCAGCUACAAAAUCUUAUCCCCUCUUGAGAUGAGAUUCAGCCUGACCAGUCCACUUUCUCUGCCUGACAUGAAGCAUCUGCCAUUUCUUGGGGGUGUUGAUUUAUAAUAUGGAUAUUGAGUUUUAUUCUGAAAUUUUGUGAGUUGCAGUAGUCCGGUGCCCUUUCUUCUGACCACCCAGAUCUAGCUUUCCCACCCCCCUGGACUAACUGUCUAUAGUCAAUAGCCAUUGACUAAUAGUCAUGGUCCCCUCACAUCAUCCUACACCUUCAGGAAACCUGUAUCCUAAAUGGGUGACAAAACAGACAACUGUGUAGUUGAAAAGUGAGAAACAUUGAUUAUGUCUUUAGCUAGCUAGUAUAAAUAUUUCCUGCACUUGGGGCAAAUAUUAUGAUAGAAACAAAUCUUCAAAACACUAUCACUUCCACUGUAAUUUCUAUCAUUUAAAUGCCUGCUAGAGCUGCGAAUUUUUUUUCCGUACCCCAGGUUUACAUUUGACUUGUUUCUGACAAUCUUCUCUAUUGAAUUCAGGAAUAUACCCCUAACUAGUGAAGGUGCACCUGGCCAAUCGCCUCCUCUCCUGCUAUUGGAAUGAGUCAAUAAGUCAAUUACGUGUUCAGCAGACAUUUCAAUGCUGUGGGUCACAAGAACCUUAUAGCCUCUGUGCUACACAAACUACUCAGUCAUUCACUCACA
rnacentral:lncRNA from 1 species